rnacentral:hammerhead_ribozyme from 1 species
AUCCAGUUAACGAGUUCCAAUUGGGACGAAACACGUGUCCUGGAU